CAAUAGCGUAUAUUAAAGUUGUUGCAGUUAAAAAGCUCGUAGUUGGAUUUCGGGGCAGCCUGGCUGGUCCGCCGCAAGGCGAGUACUGGUCAGCCGCCCUUCCUCUCGAAAGCCCCGACUGCUCUUCGUUGCAGUGGUCGGGUAGUUCGGGACGUUUACUUUGAAAAAAUUAGAGUGUUCAAGGCAGGCCUACGCCUGAAAACAUUAGCAUGGAAUAAUGGAAGAGGACCUCGGUCCUAUUUUGUUGGUUUCCAGGGCCGAAGUAAUGAUUAAGAGGGACAGUUGGGGGCAUUCGUAUUUAAUUGUCAGAGGUGAAAUUCUCGGAUUUAUGAAAGACGAACAACUGCGAAAGCAUUUGCCAAGGAUGUUUUCAUUAA
rnacentral:rRNA from 1 species